UACGUAGGCGGGAAAUUAAGUCAGUGGUGAAAUCCUGCAGCUUAACUGUAGAACUGUCAUUGAUACUGGUUUUCUUGAAUACAGUUGAGGUAGGCGGAAUGUGUAAUGUAGCGGUGAAAUGCUUAGAUAUUACACAGAACACCGAUUGCGAAGGCAGCUUACUAAACUGUUAUUGACGCUGAGGUACGAAAGCGUGGGGAGCGAACAGGAUUAGAUACCCUGGUAGUCC
rnacentral:rRNA from 1 species